AGUGUCUUGACCAAGGACACAACGGCCGGGGCUCGAACCGGCAACCUUCCGAUUACAAGGCGAACUGCCAACUCUAGAGCCACGAUUGCCCGUCAUAGAUCAUACAAGUAGUCAUACAACUGUCUCGAAAAGCAACACUUAAUACUUUAGUUUGUCUUAAGAACUUAAAUGAACGCUGCAAAUAUUUUCUUAAGUGGAUUCUUUUGCAACCCAAAACUCAGCAGCUCUAUUCCAUAUAUGCUUUGUUUUGAUCUACAGACGCCUAUUCUGUCCACAUUCAGUGUAAGUGAGACCAAAUUUCACCAGCAAAACGUUGUCAACAUUUGCGCAUGCAAGAUCAAACCUGUGAUGCAGAGGUUGUUUUGCCUUCAUACAGAAUACAAGAUAUCAUCAUCAGCGGGCCAAUAUGACCAAACACAGGACCACACAUGAUGAGUUUGUCCUUCGGUGGAUGCCAUUAAAGAGUCACCUGGGAGAUCAUUUUCCAGUCUGCUUUGCUGUGGAGUCCGUGACAGGGUCUGGAGUCUAUCAGUCUGAGAUGAGGUGUGCUAUCCUGGAUGUCAGGAAGGAGGAAAGUGAGUCUAAAGGCUGCUCUGAUGUCAACAUUUAUUAUUUAACACCUGAAGUUUUAACAUACUGGCAGUACUGCAGAGUGGUUUGAGUAAUACCUCUCUUGUGAAGCACUUUGUAACAUAUAUCUGUGAAAACUGCUAUAUAAAUAAACUUUUACUCAGUUACUUUACUUGCUUACUUGAAAUAGUUGUAAUGUGAGUGUUUUUAUUUUGACGUGUUAUUGACUUGUUUCGGUUAAAACCAAUGUGAUCUGCACUGAGUCCACAAUGAGAGUUGAGAUUGACAAAUCGUCCUUCCGUGGACUCCACGAGGAUCACCUGCGUCUCAGUGAACCCAGCAACACCCUCUGCAGCCUGGAGAGAUACUCCAACAGCACUCACGUCAUCGGCAUCAUCCCCCUCAGUGCUUGCGGCACUCAAAUUGAGGUUUACAUCAGCUGUUCAGUGAUGGUAUGUGAAGCGGGAAACCCCAACACCAGGUGCGCACAGGGAUGCAUCAACUCCACGUCAGACGCUCACCACCACUCCCACUGCUGAAAGAGAGGGGCUGUCAUGCAGACUGCACAGCACUUAAUUUCCCAGGGUCCCCUGUGCUUGAAGAGGUCAGCAGACAUCAGCAGGUGUGGGUGUGGAAACAGAGUCGGCUGCUUUGUUUUAGUCACUGUAACUUUGGAUAACGCUGAAUUAAACUGAUCUUCUCUUGUUUCCAGGGAACGCCAUGAACCUGAACCUGGUCUUCAUAGCUGGAUGUCUUCUUGCUGCCGUCGCUAUGAUCUGUGGCGUGCUCACGUUCAGGGCCGAAACAUCGAUGGUCAGAUACCAAGCUUUGUCCUCAACUGAAAGUUAAAACCCUUCGUGUGCUCCACUGGAUGAGAUGAAAUUAUUUAGAUCAGCCUGCAGUCUGAGUGUUCAUGUAUCGUCUCAUGUGUGAAUUAACUGAUGAAAAUCAAUUAUUUUCUAUCAGUUAUUAUUAGAAUAGUACACAGCUUUGGGUGCAUAAGCUAAAAUGGGAAAGAGUUUGUUUUUUAAAUCUAUAGAUUUACAGUAUAAUUUGAAAUGAAUAAAUCCUGAUUAUUGAUCCUGAUCAAAGAUUUAUACAAUAAUGAAAGUCUUAUUACUGUUUUUGUCCAUGUUUACUUUCACCUGUCGACUGUGUAGCUCAAAGUCACAAACAAGCUAACAAAGAGCUUGUUUGUGCUGCUUCUUCCUCCGGGUCUCUCUUGGAAAUGAGGAUAUUUUUCCUUCUGAUUAAAUAAAGAUGAAAAAAAUAUAACUGCUUCUGUCUGAGAUGUGGUGAAACGUGGAAUCCAGUAAUUGUGACACAUACUUCCAUUUGUAACACAUUUCUUACCAAUCUGUAAUCUUGGAUGAAUGUUUGUAAUAUUAUAUCAAUGUCAAGCUUAAACGACGUCGCACACAGAAGUCUCUGAAAUCAUCAGAAUAUGUAGCAAAAGUUCUAAAAGUUCACAGUUUUCUCUUUGUGUCAAUAUCAAUAAACUUCUUACAAUGUAACUGGUAACGAAGGAAUCUAUACGGGGCAGCAGGAAUGUUACCACAGCAACCCAAAUCAGCUGUUCCUGUCCGUCUCCAUAGUAAUCGUGGUUACACGUCUUUUCUGUCCAAUGUGGCCUUUUUGGUCUCGAGUGUAACCUAACGUUUCAUCGUUUGUUUCCAUUCAUCGAUUGCAGACUGUGACAGUGACAUGUUCACCUCCUUUAAGAGAGAGUUCUUCACUUAAACACAAAACGUCAGUUUUUCGUGUGAUUGAAGGUUUCCCAGCAGGUCA